UACAGAGGUGGCAGGCGUUGUUCGGAAUUACUGGGCGUAAAGAGCUCGUAGGUGGUUUGUCGCGUUGUUCGUGAAAACUCACAGCUCAACUGUGGGCGUGCGGGCGAUACGGGCAGACUGGAGUACUGCAGGGGAGACUGGAAUUCCUGGUGUAGCGGUGGAAUGCGCAGAUAUCAGGAGGAACACCGGUGGCGAAGGCGGGUCUCUGGGCAGUAACUGACGCUGAGGAGCGAAAGCGUGGGGAGCGAACAGG
rnacentral:rRNA from 1 species